rnacentral:rRNA from 1 species
CUGGGGUAAGCGUGUAGGGCGGAACGUAGGUAAAUCCGCGUUCUAUUCAGCCUGAGAUGUGAUGCCGAGCCGAUUGUGGUGAAGUGGAUGAUCCUAUGCUGCCGAGAAAAGCCUCUAGUGAGUGCUGUGGCGGCCCGUACCCUAAACCGACUCAGGUGGUCAGGUAGAGAAUACCAAGGCGAUCGGGUGAACUGUGGUUAAGGAACUCGGCAAAUUGCCCCCGUAACUUCGGGAGAAGGGGGACCUCUGCUGGUGAUGGGCUUUACGUUCUGAGCUGGUGGGGGUCGCAGUGGCCAGGGGGAAGCGACUGUUUACUAAAAACACAGGUCCGUGCGAGGUCGUAAGACGAUGUAUACGGACUGACGCCUGCCCGGUGCCGGAACGUUAAGGGGACCGCUUAGCCAACGCGAGUUGGCGAAGGUGAGAACUUAAGCGCCGGUAAACGGCGGUGGUAACUAUAACCAUCCUAAGGUAGCGAAAUUCCUUGUCGGGUAAGUUCCGACCUGCACGAAUGGCGUAACGACUUCCCCGCUGUCUCAACCACAGACCCGGCGAAAUUGCACUACGAGUAAAGAUGCUCGUUUCGCGCAGCAGGACGGAAAGACCCCGGGACCUUCACUACAGCUUGACAUUGGCGUUUGGAACGUCUUGUGUAGGAUAGGUGGGAUACUGGGAAGCUGUCACGCUAGUGAUGGUGGAGUCAUUGGUGAAAUACCACUCUGGUCGUUUUGAACGUCUAACUCUGGUCCGUGAUCCGGAUCGGGGACAGUGUCUGGUGGGUAGUUUAACUGGGGCGGUUGCCUCCUAAAGAGUAACGGAGGCGCCCAAAGGUUCCCUCAGCCUGGUUGGCAAUCAGGUGUUGAGUGUAAGUGCACAAGGGAGCUUGACUGUGAGACUGACAGGUCGAGCAGGAGCGAAAGCUGGGACUAGUGAUCCGGCAUCGGCGUGUGGAAGCGGUGUCGCUCAACGGCUAAAAGGUACCCCGGGGAUAACAGGCUGAUCUUCCCCAAGAGUCCAUAUCGACGGGAUGGUUUGGCACCUCGAUGUCGGCUCGUCGCAUCCUGGGGCUGGAGUAGGUCCCAAGGGUUGGGCUGUUCGCCCAUUAAAGCGGUACGCGAGCUGGGUUUAGAACGUCGCGAGACAGUUCGGUCCCUAUCCGCUGCGCGCGCAGGAGACUUGAAGGGGGCUGUCCCUAGUACGAGAGGACCGGGACGGACGAGCCUCUGGUGUGCCAGUUGUACCGCCAGGUGCACGGCUGGUUGGCUACGUUCGGAAGGGAUAACCGCUGAAAGCAUCUAAGCGGGAAGCUCGCCUUGAGAUGAGGUCUCCCACCCCGUGAGGGGGUAAGGCUCCCGGUAGAUCACCGGGUUGAUAGGCCGGAGGUGGAAGCACGGUAACGUGUGGAGCUGACCGGUACUAAUAGGCCGAGGACUUGACCG